UCUCCGUUGGUGCACCAGCGGAGGGAUCAUUAUAGAGUUUUCAAAACUCCCAACCCAUGUGAACUUACUUAUGUUGCCUCGGCGGGAGCCUACCCUAUACCUACCCUGUAACGGGGUACCGGGAACGGCCCCGCCGGUGGACCUUUUAACUCUUGUUAUUUUAUGUAAUCUGAGAGUCUUAUUUUAAUAAGUCAAAACUUUCAACAACGGAUCUCUUGGUUCUGGCAUCGAUGAAGAACGCAGC
rnacentral:misc_RNA from 1 species